GAUCCUGGCUCAGGAUGAACGCUGGCGGCGUGCUUAACACAUGCAAGUCGAGCGAAGCACUUUGGAAAGAUUCUUCGGAUGAUUUCCUUUGUGACUGAGCGGCGGACGGGUGAAGUAACGCGUGGGUAACCUGCCUCAUACAGGGGGGAUAACAGUUAGAAAUGACUGCUAAUACCGCAUAAGACCACGGUAGCGCAUGGUACAGUGGUAAAAACUCCGGUGGUAUGAGAUGGACCCCGCGU
rnacentral:rRNA from 1 species